rnacentral:rRNA from 1 species
CUACGGGAGGCUGCAGUGAGGAAUAUUGCACAAUGGGGGGAACCCUGAUGCAGCAACGCCGCGUGGAGGAUGACGCAUUUCGGUGUGUAAACUCCUUUUAUAUGUCAAGAAAAUGACGGUAGCAUAUGAAUAAGCACCGGCUAACUCCGUGCCAGCAGCCGCGAGUAAUACGGAGGGUGCAAGCGUUACUCGGAAUCACUGGGCGUAAAGGACGCGUAGGCGGGUUAUCAAGUCAGGUGUGAAAUCCUACAGCUUAACUGUAGAACUGCACUUGAAACUGGUAACCUAGAGUAUGGGAGGGGCAGAUGGAAUUAGUGGUGUAGGGGUAAAAUCCGUAGAUAUCACUAGGAAUACCUAAAGCGAAGGCGAUCUGCUGGAACAUAACUGACGCUAAGGCGUGAAAGCGUGGGGAGCAAACAGGAUUAGAUACCCGUGUAGUC